ACUGCUGAACACACCAAAAUACAUCAAAAUUUAGGCUAGCAAAAUGAAAUACUCCUAUAUAACAAAACAUAGCCAAAGUACCAUUACAUGAAGAUGGUGUAUCCCCAAAGGCUGAAUAUACCAAAAAUACUUAAAUAUUAAGGCAAACAACGUUACCCAAAACAUCAUUUCUGUCCGUUAAUCUUUUUCUCUCUCAUAUACAAUCGGUCUCAUCUCUCUCUUUCAAUCUCACCGCACACAUCCCCCACCGCUUCCUGCUCCGGCGAAGGGGCCGCCCUCGACCACCGCCACCACAGGCAUCUCCCCCCUCUCGCCUCUCGCUCCCUAUCUACCCCUUUCUAUCACUCAGCGCGCACGGCCAGGCCAGGCUGCACAUGCAACGCCGCCUCCGUCGCUACGCCGCAGUCACCAUCUCCACGCCUUCCACCUGUAAUUUUCGGCCUUGCUACCUCUCGUUUUGGUACCCAAGAUUUGCUAUCUCAAUUUUAUUCAAUUACAAUGCUAAUUAAAAAAAAAACCUAAAACUUGAAAUCCUUAACACCCAAAAUCGUGACCCCCUUCACUUCCUAAUUGAUUGCCGCUGCAGCCUCGACGCGCUCGUCUGCCGCCUACGCGCAACCCUCGAGGACAAUGGCGGCAGGCACGACACCAUCUCGCCGCUGCGACCCGAAAGCCUGCGACGCCGCCCCUGGCUUCUUUGAUAACUCUAGCUAUUCGAAUUUCUGUUGUCGUCUGAUUUUGAAGUUUACAUCAUUCGGAGAAUUUGACCGUGUAAUCGUACCGGCCGAGUCUCUUCGUCAAGCUAUGCGAGAAGAAGAAUGUUGAGGAUUUCAUCGUGAACAUUGGAUCCGGUGGUGGCGGUGUCGCCGUUGUAGUUGCUGCUCUCGUCUCAGUUGCGCUCCUACCGGCGGUGCUGCAGGCGCCGCUGCAACUGCCCCUGACCCUGCUGUCGAAGAAAGGAAGGUGCGCCACUGUUGUCGAAGAAAAGAAGAAACCUGUUGUCGGAAGAAAAGAAGGUGGGUGGAGGAGUUCUCUUUUCGAAAUUCUCCUACUAAUUGCAUAUUUUGUUUCUAUUUUCUGCAUUUUUUUUUUUGCUUUUAUUUCAAGAUUUUAGGUUUCUAAUUUAUGUUCUUUCCCAUUUGCAAUAUUUUUUUGUGCAAAUGAUUUACAGAAUCAGUUAAAUACAAAAACAACACAAAUACAGAAUCA